rnacentral:lncRNA from 1 species
UUUUAAACUCUUGCACCGAAUUGAACAAAAUGUUUCAAAUUCUCACAGCGUCCUCUCUUUUCUUCUUGUUUUUGGCAUCAUCGUCCAAGUAUUUGCAGCCCCUUCUCCUUGCUUUAUCCUUUAUGUUAUAGGAUCGAUCAAUAAAUAUAAUUAAUUCGUUGAAAUUAAUUAAAUUUUUUUGUGAAGAAAAUGAUUAAUACGCUAGAACAGAGGUCACUAGUUCAAAUAAGUAUUUAAGAGUUAAUGCUAAACAGCCACAUUGUGGCCACCACAAUUUACCUAAAUAAAAAUAAUUUAAUUUAUUUAAUUUAUUUUUAAAAUAAAAUAAGAUUUAGUUAUUUUAUCAUAUUCUCUACAUNCCUCCCCUCCCAAUACACCAGUUUCGUAACCCUCAAGGACCCAACAGUUGUCUAUAUACAAUUGACAAUAAAUGUGACACAUCAAUCCUCCCAUUAUAUCCUCCAUAAAUUUAUAUAUUUUCCUUCUCAUUUUUCUUAAAAUCUUCAAUUCCAUAUCAAACCUCUUAUAUAAUUUUGUCAACAAAAAUCUAUAUAUUAUAUAAAGAACCAGUUUAACGACAUCAAAUUUACCGUCAUUUUUUUAACAGAACAUUCCUUAUAUUUAACGGUAGUGACUGUAUCUUCACCCACAAACCCACAUUCACCCAUUAAUCUAUACAUAUCAUCAGUUAUUUUCUCUCUCCUGUAUCCCGUAAUCUUUCUAGCAAAAUCAACAAUUAUUUUAUCAAUUUUCUCAAAAAAGUUCUAAUCAUCCCACGACUAAAUUUCCUACUAUUAUUUCUCUCCCUAACUAUCCCCACUUCCACAUCAACAUAAUUGUAAAAGCAAAUCCCCAAACUUCAAACCGUCGUUUGCUCAUCAAACUCUGAUGAAGACGCAUCCUUCGCCUUUGUCGCGCCGCCUCGAUCAAUUAUCGCCCAAAACUCAGGCUGGCUUGCGGCCUCACGCCGCCUCCAAGCGCAAGAGCAAACCCAUCAAGUUUCCUACUCUAUAUUCCUAUUUCUUUAUUCGUUUUUCCCUUUCUCAUUUUCUUUAACUUUAAUCUCCUCAGAGAAGAAACGAAUUUUGAGUGAUGCAUAUUGAUGAAGUGAAAGAGGAAUAAGGUUGAAUCAGAGAGAGAGAGAGUCAAUAAUCGAAAAACAGGCAUGACCACAAAUAUUGAAUCAAGUAAUUUCAUGAAACUGAAGCCCGAUAUUGGAGAUUGGACGUCUUCUUCAAAACCAAGAAUUGAUCCAUCUACAUCGAAGAAGAAAUUUUAUUAUGGGAUCAAUCAUGAAUCCUGCAACUGAUUCCAAAAAUAGAUCCAUUUUCUAUGGAGGCUCCAAAAUGACGAAGAAAGCAUCCACCCAAAUGAUGGAUGAUAAGUAAAUCGUGAAUAGAACCAGAGAGAAGAAAGUGUGUUCGUUGCCUUGCUAGAAAUUUGAUGUCCCCGAAGAGCGGGAACCAUUGAGAAUAUUUUAGGAAUCAUUAUCCAAACAUAUUUCAAGUGAAAUGGCUGAAUUUUGGUUGAUGGAACACAUCAUGCUGUCACCUGAGAGAGCGAGUUGGAAGAUGAUAGAGGACUUAGAGACCAAAUUUAUGGAAGCUAAUCACAGGUACAUAGAGCAACUAUGUUUUUAAUUAUUGAGCUAUUCUUUUGUUUGCGUAUAUUUUACUCAAAUCUCUCUGAGUUAGAGUUUUUUAGACUUAAAUAUGUUUUGAAAAUGUUAAUUUUCGUUGAUCCAAGAUAUUAAUUCAAUUGCUUAGUUUAAUGGUGUUUGGCAGGGUGUUGACAUACCAAUAAAAUCAUAUCAAAAGCAAGGCUUUUCAUUAGGUGGCAUUGGAGUAAAUCUUGCUUCCGAUUUCCAAGUACGGUAUCUUAUUCUUGCAAAAUGUAAUUCUAUAAUUUGGGAGAAGAAGCAAAAGAGCAAAAGAAGAAGUAGAAGACCAAAGAAGAAGAAAAAAAUAGCAGCAGUAAUUUGGAGAACAAGGGAAUGAUAAAAAAAAAACCUAUGAUUCUAAAAUGUAUUUUUAUAUAGUAUUGGGCUAAUCAGUUUGAACCAUAAAAUGAAACAAUAAUUCUAUGUAUUUAACAUUGGGUUAAUAAUGAAAAUUACCCAUUUUAAUUUGAAAGAAAAAAUGCCCAUUUUUAUUAUUCUAUAAAUUCAAGAAAGAAAACAAGGUUUUCAUCGAACAUGAAGAUUAAAAAUUAUGCUUUAAAAUUUAUUAAUAAUAAUACAGAAAUAUGACUUGAAUCGGUUAUAUUUAUAUUGACCUAUAAUUGGCACCCAUUACAAUUUAUACUUGCUUUUAUUUUGAGUAAUUUUAGUAUUUAUACUCAUGUUAUUGAGUAACUGUGAAUAAUCCAAUUACAACAAUAUAUUUAAUUAUAUUUUAAUUCUAUUUAAUGUUUAUAUAUUUCGAUGCUCCCGUGCAUCGCACGGGCGAAUGUACUAGUUUAUAUAAAAAAGUAAUUUUAUUAUUGGAUACAUUUUAAACUCUUGCACCGAAUUGAACAAAAUGUUUCAAAUUCUCACAGCGUCCUCUCUUUUCUUCUUGUUUUUGGCAUCAUCGUCCAAGUAUUUGCAGCCCCUUCUCCUUGCUUUAUCCUUUAUGUUAUAGGAUCGAUCAAUAAAUAUAAUUAAUUCGUUGAAAAUUAAAUUAAAUUUUUUUGUGAAGAAAAUGAUUAAUACGCUAGAACAGAGGUCACUAGUUCAAAUAAGUAUUUAAGAGUUAAUGCUAAACAGCCACAUUGUGGCCACCCACAAUUUACCUAAAUAAAAAAUAAUUUAAUUAAUUUAAUUUAUUUUUAAAAUAAAAAUAAGAUUUAGUUAUUUUAUCAUAU